UUUAUAUUAAAUGAUCAAUGCAGGUCUAGGGUCCAGUGUUAGUUUCCUAGCCAUUGAUUAAGGGACUUAUUGCUGAAUUUUAAUCUAAUUCUUCACAUUGAUAAUAGAAGUGGAAAGUACUAGAAUUUUAGUGAAUUAUUUUGUGAGUGGUCAUAAGUCACAAUAUUUCUGGGGAGUGUUGUUCUCUAUAUAGUCAACCAAUACUGAUGUGUUGUUUGCGUAGUUAGGGAUUUCCAUUGUGGGACAGAAGAACAGAUGUUGAGAGUUUAGACAAACUCAUGAAAACCAAAAACAUACCUAAAGCUCACCAAGAUGUCUUUAAAACUGGUUUUGCAGAGGGUUUUCUGAAAGCUCAAACACUAACACAAAAAACCAAUGGUACAUUGAUUUGACACCAUCCGUGUUUGAGAAGAAUGUUGGAAAGGAAGUUGUAGUCCUACCUUCAAGUGAUUGUAAAUCAUCCAACUUUCUGUUGGUUAUAUUCUACCAUGUUUGAAACUUAAGCUGUGUAAAAAUGGAAAUACCUACUGGCACUUUCACUUUAUCAAGUGAGAAACCGAAGUCAAGGACAGAAGCAUGAGUGACUCCAUCAAGUUUAUGGUAAGAGGGUGCUGAAAGGAAAUCCUGGCACUUCUGCAGAGGGAUGCCAGCUUCCAAGAUUGCAUGUGAUGAAAUGGGAUCAUCAUCAGUUUAACCUGAUGUUUGCAUCUCAUUGAGCUGUCAUUUCUCGUUGAUGUCGUUUGAUUUAAGGCUUUUUCUUUCUCCUCCAGAUUCUCUAAGAUGAACCCAUCUGAUUCUCUUUGUUCUGCUGCUAUUUGGCAUUUACGGACUCUUAAAAAACCCAUUUUUAUCUGUUCGCUUCCGGACAACAACAGGGCUUGAUUCUGCAGUUGAUCCUGUCCAGAUGAAAAAUGUCACCUUUGAACAUGUUAAAGGAACUCACCCUCCUGGGCUCUGACGUCGGAGUCCUGCUGGUCCUGCUGGUCCUCAGACACCAAGUCAUUUAUGUUGCUCUCUGCCUCCGUGAACUCCAUCUUGUCCACCCCCGACCCGUGGAGCAGUGCAGGAAGGCCUUGCUCGGUGACAUGGCUGUCAACCUCUGCGAGAUGCCAGGAACAGCUCCUGGAUGGCCGUGCUGUGGCCAAUGAAGGUGCAGAACGUUUUUAGCCCCGGGGGCGGGAUGUCACAGAAGCUGUUUUCACAUUGUUGGGGAUCCGCUCCACAAAAAGGCUGCUGUUCUUGAUUUGGAUGGUAAGCAUCCCCUCGUCCAUCUCCUUCCUGGACCUGCGGCCCCUGAACACAGAGGCCCCAGGCAGGUAGCGGCCGUGUCACCGGCAGCCAUCAGGCUUUGGCGUUGAACACCUGCCCGGUGAGCUCGGGUGCCCUGUGGGUAAGUCAUGGCAGCCGCAAGGCGGUGGUCGUGCCCGGAGGAGCUGGGGCGGGGGUGGGGGGGUCACACAGGGCUGCCGGCUCCGGGAGAAGAGCCCUGGUUCACCUCCCCUGCACCCGCCUGCCACCGCCUCAUCCUGGAGACCCCAGGUCGGCCCCUCCCUAGACUUGCUCCCUGGUUCCACUCACUCCUCGGGGUGCACCAUGUGUGAGUCAGGGGUGGGUCAGAAGGAGGAAACUUUUCCUCUUUUCUCCGGAGCUGCUCCUCCUCCCACGUCUCGGGGAACCUCAUUACGUGCACUUGGCUGCAGGAAUUCUGAGAGCCAUUCUCCACUCUCCCGCCCCUGCGCCUUCCACUUGCUCACGGAAUCCAGUGCAUUGUGCGUCUGAGGUUAGUCACCCCUUUCCCACCUUAGAGCCUUUCCAACCUGCCUCCAUCUCCCCUCCCUCCUGCCCAGAUUCCUGGCUCGCCCUGCCUGUGUGUCCUUCUCAGCGCUCACUCCACCACUGUGCACGAUGGCUCGACAUCCUUUUAAGGUAGAGUUAAAAUUCCUUAACCCUGCACACAGCGCACAAUGACCUCGCCUCGGCGCUUCUCCAGGCCCGUCCCCAACCCCAUCCCCUCACACCCUAUUCAGUCCCGCAAUACUGGGGGCACCCAGCCUGGUGUGUGCUUUCUCUUGUGUCCUUCCUUGACAAAGACUAUUGUCUCUGCCUGGAAUGUCCUUCCCACCCUCCAGUCCCCUCUGUGCCUGGUGA
rnacentral:lncRNA from 1 species